rnacentral:rRNA from 1 species
GACGAACGCUGGCGGCGUGCUUAACACAUGCAAGUCGAACGGAAAGGCCCUGCUUUUGUGGGGUGCUCGAGUGGCGAACGGGUGAGUAACACGUGAGUAACCUGCCCUUGACUUUGGGAUAACUUCAGGAAACUGGGGCUAAUACCGGAUAGGAGCUCCUGCUGCAUGGUGGGGGUUGGAAAGUUUCGGCGGUUGGGGAUGGACUCGCGGCUUAUCAGCUUGUUGGUGGGGUAGUGGCUUACCAAGGCUUUGACGGGUAGCCGGCCUGAGAGGGUGACCGGCCACAUUGGGACUGAGAUACGGCCCAGACUCCUACGGGAGGCAGCAGUGGGGAAUAUUGCACAAUGGGCGGAAGCCUGAUGCAGCAACGCCGCGUGCGGGAUGACGGCCUUCGGGUUGUAAACCGCUUUCGCCUGUGACGAAGCGUGAGUGACGGUAAUGGGUAAAGAAGCACCGGCUAACUACGUGCCAGCAGCCGCGGUGAUACGUAGGGUGCGAGCGUUGUCCGGAUUUAUUGGGCGUAAAGGGCUCGUAGGUGGUUGAUCGCGUCGGAAGUGUAAUCUUGGGGCUUAACCCUGAGCGUGCUUUCGAUACGGGUUGACUUGAGGAAGGUAGGGGAGAAUGGAAUUCCUGGCGGAGCGGUGGAAUGCGCAGAUAUCAGGAGGAACACCAGUGGCGAAGGCGGUUCUCUGGGCCUUUCCUGACGCUGAGGAGCGAAAGCGUGGGGAGCGAACAGGCUUAGAUACCCUGGUAGUCCACGCUGUAAACGGUGGGUACUAGGUGUGGGGUCCAUUCCACGGGUUCCGUGCCGUAGCUAACGCUUUAAGUACCCCGCCUGGGGAGUACGGCCGCAAGGCUAAAACUCAAAGGAAUUGACGGGGCCCCGCACAAGCGGCGGAGCAUGCGGAUUAAUUCGAUGCAACGCGUAGAACCUUACCUGGGUUUGACAUGGAUCGGGAGUGCUCAGAGAUGGGUGUGCCUCUUUUGGGGUCGGUUCACAGGUGGUGCAUGGCUGUCGUCAGCUCGUGUCGUGAGAUGUUGGGUUAAGUCCCGCAACGAGCGCAACCCUUGUUCACUGUUGCCAGCACGUUAUGGUGGGGACUCAGUGGAGACCGCCGGGGUCAACUCGGAGGAAGGUGGGGAUGACGUCAAGUCAUCAUGCCCCUUAUGUCCAGGGCUUCACGCAUGCUACAAUGGCUGGUACAGAGAGUGGCGAGCCUGUGAGGGUGAGCGAAUCUCGGAAAGCCGGUCUCAGUUCGGAUUGGGGUCUGCAACUCGACCUCAUGAAGUCGGAGUCGCUAGUAAUCGCAGAUCAGCAACGCUGCGGUGAAUACGUUCCCGGG